GUGGGGAAUAUUGGACAAUGGGCGCAAGCCUGAUCCAGCCAUGCCGCGUGUGUGAAGAAGGCCUUCGGGUUGUAAAGCACUUUUGUCCGGGAAGAAAUCUUCCAGGUUAAUACCCUGGGAGGCUGACGGUACCGGAAGAAUAAGCACCGGCUAACUUCGUGCCAGCAGCCGCGGUAAUACGAAGGGUGCAAGCGUUACUCGGAAUUACUGGGCGUAAAGCGUGCGUAGGUGGUUCGUUAAGUCUGCCGUGAAAGCCCCGGGCUCAACCUGGGGAUGGCGGUGGGUACUGGCGGGCUAGAGUGCGGUAGAGGGUGGUGGAAUUCCCGGUGUAGCAGUGAAAUGCGUAGAGAUCGGGAGGAACAUCUGUGGCGAAGGCGGCCACCUGGACCAGAACUGACACUGAGGCACGAAAGCGUGGGGAGCAAACAGGAUUAGAAACCCGUGUAGUCC
rnacentral:rRNA from 1 species